AUUGAACGCUGGCGGCAUGCCUUACACAUGCAAGUCGAACGGUAACAGGUCUUCGGAUGCUGACGAGUGGCGAACGGGUGAGUAAUACAUCGGAACGUGCCUAGUAGUGGGGGAUAACUACUCGAAAGAGUGGCUAAUACCGCAUGAGAUCUACGGAUGAAAGCAGGGGAUCGCAAGACCUUGUGCUACUAGAGCGGCCGAUGGCAGAUUAGGUAGUUGGUGGGAUAAAAGCUUACCAAGCCGACGAUCUGUAGCUGGUCUGAGAGGACGAUCAGCCACACUGGGACUGAGACACGGCCCAGACUCCUACGGGAGGCAGCAGUGGGGAAUUUUGGACAAUGGGCGCAAGCCUGAUCCAGCAAUGCCGCGUGCAGGAUGAAGGCCUUCGGGUUGUAAACUGCUUUUGUACGGAACGAAAAGCCCUGGGUUAAUACCCUGGGGUCAUGACGGUACCGUAAGAAUAAGCACCGGCUAACUACGUGCCAGCAGCCGCCGCAG
rnacentral:rRNA from 1 species